GGGACACAGUGAGACCACGACCACUCCUUUCCCACAAACAUAAAGCCCCCCUAGCGGCAGCACCCACAUACCAAGUAUACACAUAUACUGACCACCACGUGGUGACCUGACACACGUAACACACAUUAAGACUCCACACAAAAGGCCACUCUACUCCCACCGACCCUCCUAACCAGUCCACAAUGAAAGUGUACACGCACAAUGUAAGGGGACUUAACACGCCCCAUAAAAGAUAUAACCUUCUCAAGGAAAUUCGCAAUUCACAAGCUGACAUUAUCUGCCUGCAGGAAACCCAUUUCCGGCAUGACUCUUCACCCAUCUUAGGACUCAAACACUAUCCUCACCAAUACCAUGCCACAUCCCCAUCCAAAAGCAGAGGAGUCUCGAUCUUAAUAAGCCACACACUGGCGUAUGACCAAGUAACAGUCCAAGCCGACCCACAGGGCAGAUAUAUCAUCCUCAUAUGCACGCUAAACAACGUUACAUAUACACUAGCUAACGCAUACUUUCCAAAUGACUGUCAACCCCGUUACAUGUCCACACUAUUGGACAAAAUAGAACAAAUACGCACUGGAACCCUGAUCCUAUGCGGAGAUUUCAACCACAUCCUUGACCCACAAGCAGACUCGACGGCGAGUCACACAUCCAAAAGAAAUAAACUCCUGCACAAGCAAUGCACCGCCCUAAACAAAACACUAGCCUCACACGGAUUAUAC